UACGUAGGGGGCAAGCGUUGUCCGGAAUCAUUGGGCGUAAAGCGCGCGUAGGCGGCCCGAUAAGUCCGCUGUGAAAGUCCAGGGCUCAACCCUGGAAAGCCGGCCGAUACUGUCGGACUAGAGUCCGGAAGAGGCAAGUGGAAUUCCCGGUGUAGCGGUGAAAUGCGCAGAUAUCAGGAAGAACACCCGUGGCGAAGGCGGCUCUCUGGGACGGUACUGACGCUGAGACGCGAAAGCGUGGGGAGCGAACAGG
rnacentral:rRNA from 1 species